GUCAGGAUGGCCGAGUGGUCUAAGGCGCUGCGUUCAGGUCGCAGUCUCCUUUCUGGAGACGUGGGUUCGAAUCCCACUCCUGACA
rnacentral:tRNA from 1 species